AUCCAGCUAACGAGUCCCAAAUAGGACGAAACGUGCGUCAAACUAGAU
rnacentral:hammerhead_ribozyme from 1 species